rnacentral:lncRNA from 1 species
GUCCCAUCAUAUCAGAUGUCUUAAAAAUGCACAAUUUUCAUAUUCAAAGAUUUUUUAGUUCCGGCUGUGUCGUUUAAGGAUGGAAAGCGCAACAUCCACUUCCACUCCUUUUCAGAUCUUCGUUCGCCAUUCUUUUUAUAAAACACAGCAAUACAAACUCAGAUGUGACGAGUGCAGAGACGGGUUUCAUGUGCGAUGUGUAACCAUCACUCCUAACGAGGCUGAGCAAAUGGACGCCCUCAUCCGUAUGGUGAUUGGGCAGCUGGAUUCAUACAGAUUUAUACGCAAAUUAAUGCGGUGGGAGGUCCUUAUGACUAUUUCUCUGUCGCCAAAUCACAUCGACCAAUCUAGGGUAUAUAUUAAAAAUUUAAUUUUGGUAUUUACAAUUAACUUAUGACUAUCAGUCGUGGAAGUCAUGAAUGCUGCUUUUCAAAUAGAAACAACAUAUCUUUAAUUUACAAAAUGCAGCCAACCAUCAAUCUGUAAGAUUUAUGACCGCUUCUGUAGCCAUUUUUGUAAGAAUUUUUCAAGCUUCAAUUGUAAUAAAACUACAGAUAUAAUGAAUAAUAGAGAUAGGGCAUUUAGUACAUAUACCAA